UUGGCCCUACGGGAGGCAGCAGUGGGGAAUAUUGCACAAUGGGCGAAAGCCUGAUGCAGCGACGCCGCGUGAGUGAAGAAGUAUUUCGGUAUGUAAAGCUCUAUCAGCAGGGAAGAAAAUGACGGUACCUGACUAAGAAGCCCCGGCUAACUACGUGCCAGCAGCCGCGGUAAUACGUAGGGAGCAAGCGUUGUCCGGAUUUACUGGGUGUAAAGGGUGCGUAGGCGGUCUUGCAAGUCAGACGUGAAAACCACAGGCUCAACCUGUGGACUGCGUUUGAAACUGUGGGGCUUGAGUGAAGUAGG
rnacentral:rRNA from 1 species